GUGGACAUCACUAUUUUAUUGUCUUGUUGCUUGGUAACCUGUAUAAAAACACAAUACAAAACAUGCCAAGGAAAUAUAAGCAAAAAAGGAAGUCAAGUACAUGUGGUCAUUUUACCUUUUUGAAAUCUAUCGCUCACAAAUUCAAUAAUACUUCCAGAAUGGUCUCCAUGCCACGUGCAGCAGUAAAACAGGUCUGUCAAACAUGCGGCCAAUGAAUUUGGCUUGCAGCACCUUGUGUGCCAUAUGGUGUUUGUGCGGCCAUGGAUGCCCAUUGGAUCUGUGGGGGACUCGGAAGGGCUCUUAGAUAAGGGGCCCUAAGCCCUUUAAUACUGCACUGGACUAGGACCUUGUCAUAGCAUUCGUUCCCCCGGAGACCUGCUGGGAGGAACAGAGUUCAGGUCACUUCAUCCCAGCUCGCUGUUUCAGUUUAUCUGUAGGUGUGUCAGCAGUGGUGGAACUUAAGCAGAUAGGGGCCCUGGUGCAAGAGUUAUUUUGCAUUCCUAUCACAAGGAUGAAGAAAAAAAUAAAAUACAUUAGUUUUAAAAAGUAGCUCCCCAUAUGUUGUACAACUCCCACAAUGCGUUACCAGCUGGGCAUUGUCACUGCUUACCUUAGUUGGGAGUCUGGUAGGCAGAGAUUUGUGCUCACCCUUGCAGAUAAACACAACCCACGGUAACCAGAUCAGAAGCUACCUGGGCUGUGAGUCUGGGCACAAGGGCAUAGGCAGGAACAGUAACCAGGCACGAGGAAACAGACAAGGGGAAAUCCAGAAGAGUAGUCAGACACUGUUUCAAAAGUCAGGGCAGGCAGCGAACAGGCAAUAACGAAUAAUCCAAACAGAAAGGGUCACAAACCAAGUCAGGCUUAGGAAACAGGAUACAAGAAACAACGAACUGGCAAUGUCCUCAGGGAGGGGCAGUGUUUUAUACCCAGCUAAUGAGUGAACUGCCUCAGGUGAACUUAAAUGGACAGGUAGGAGCCACUGGUGAUGUCCAGCCCCCUAGUAUUACAGACAAUAUCAGGAAAACAAGGUUAGACCAAAGUUCAGAAGUGGCUCAGAGGCAAGAACUCAGACUUAGGAUGCAGAAGGCCCAGGUUAAAAAUCCUCUGUUGGCCCCAUCUGGGGUGACCCUGUUUGGAUGGCACAGUGAGAACCGUGACAGGCAUCUACCACUUCCCCAUCCUUGCAGGGUUGUAUUUAGCACUGAGAAGUGUUUGCACAUUUGAAAGUUUUUGUAUUAAGUGUGUGUGAAUGUAGGGGUGUAUUUGUGUGUAAUGUGUUUUUAAGUACGGUUUCCAUUUGAAAGCAGUGGUUUACUUGUGUGUAGAGUUUGCCAUUGAAUGUAAGUAUGUGUCUA